CCUCGGUAUCUGCGUCUCUCCAAAACAACAACAUAAAAUAUUUCUGACUAGAUUUUCUGGGUGCUCUUUGAUUUUUUUUCUUUUUUUCUUUUUUUGUUUUCACGUCAAAGGAGAAAAAACAAUUAACAAACAGAGUUCGUGAGGGUUGAUUAUGUUACAUUUGGUUGCCAUUCUUGGAAUGCUUUAAAAGGAUUAGUUACUCACUGGUUUGAUUCUUUCUCAGUUUUAGUUGUUGGGUUUUAAUUACUUUUCUCUAUUGGAACAAUGUCUCUCUGUCUCUUGUUUAUGGACUGCUUACUUUAUUCUCUA